rnacentral:rRNA from 1 species
AGUGAACGCUGGCGGUAGGCCUAACACAUGCAAGUCGAACGGCAGCACAGUAAGAGCUUGCUCUUACGGGUGGCGAGUGGCGGACGGGUGAGGAAUACAUCGGAAUCUACUUUUUCGUGGGGGAUAACGUAGGGAAACUUACGCUAAUACCGCAUACGACCUACGGGUGAAAGCAGGGGAUCUUCGGACCUUGCGCGAUUGAAUGAGCCGAUGUCGGAUUAGCUAGUUGGCGGGGUAAAGGCCCACCAAGGCGACGAUCCGUAGCUGGUCUGAGAGGAUGGUCAGCCACACUGGAACUGAGACACGGUCCAGACUCCUACGGGAGGCAGCAGUGGGGAAUAUUGGACAAUGGGCGCAAGCCUGAUCCAGCCAUACCGCGUGGGUGAAGAAGGCCUUCGGGUUGUAAAGCCCUUUUGUUGGGAAAGAAAAGCAGCAGGUUAAUACCCCGCUGUUCCGACGGUACCCAAAGAAUAAGCACCGGCUAACUUCGUG